rnacentral:rRNA from 1 species
UACGUAGGGUGCAAGCGUUGUCCGGAAUUAUUGGGCGUAAAGGGCUCGUAGGCGGUCCAUCGCGUCGGGAGUGAAAAGCUGGGGCUUAACCCCAGUCCUGCUUCCGAUACGGGUGGACUAGAGGUAGGUAGGGGAGAUCGGAAUUCCUGGUGUAGCGGUGAAAUGCGCAGAUAUCAGGAGGAACACCGGUGUCGAAGGCGGAUCUCUGGGCCUUACCUGACGCUGAGGAGCGAAAGCAUGGGGAGCAAACAGG